rnacentral:rRNA from 1 species
GACGAACGCUGGCGGCGUGCUUAACACAUGCAAGUCGAACGGAAAGGCCCUGCUUUUGUGGGGUGCUCGAGUGGCGAACGGGUGAGUAACACGUGAGUAACCUGUCCUUGACUGUGGGAGAACUUCAGGAAACUGGGGCUAAUACCGGAUAGGAGCUCCUGCUGCAUGGUGGGGGUUGGUAAGUUUCGGCGGUUGGGGAUGGAAUCGAGGCUUAUCAGCUUGUUGGUGGGGUAGUGGCUUACCAAGGCUUUGAGGGGUAGCCGGCCUGAGAGGGUGACCGGCCACAUGAGGACUGAGGUACGGCGCAGACUCCUACGGGAGGCAGCAGUGGAGAAUAUUACACAAUGGGCGGAAGCCUGAUGCAGCAACGCCGCGUGCGGGAUGACGGCCUUCGGGUUGUAAACCGCUUUCGCCUGUGACGAAGCGUGAUUGACGGUAAUGGGUAAAGAAGCACCGGCUAACUACGUG